CAGCUACCCAGGUGCCCAGUCUACACCUGAACACCACGUGGUGAUGACAUCACUUCAACUGUCCUUGUGAAGCCUCUAUAAUUUAUCUGAUUCAUGAUCAGUUACCAAUAUGUGCUCAAUGUAAUCUUGCAGGAUUUGUUGUUCUGACCUGGCUUCUGUGAAUUUACCUCUGAAUGAAAUAAUAUUCUAGCAAGCUCCAUCUGGUUAGAUAUAAUGGAUCAUCAGAUGAAUUUCAGGUGUCACUUCCUGUCGUGACCCCCUCGCCAGCAAGGAAGACACGACACAGGAUUCUUCUUUCAGCGGUUUAUUCAGGCCUUAACUCUAGUCUUCUCUCAAGCGCUCUCUUUCCACGCCCCCACACACAGCCUAAUAAAGCUUACUCAAGUCCAAUCCAAAGCUGCCACGUGGGGUUUUCUCAUAGGGUGUUGAGGGACAGCGCGCCAACUUUUCCUAAUAAGGAGUUGUUUACCAAGAUCCACAACGGAGACCGGCGCCAUCUUCUAAUGGCGGCAACGGUCUACAAACACGGCCACAACUUCCUCCGGGGGUCCUUCCUGGAUCCACAGUGGGGAGCCCUCUCUCCUCCACCUGUGUGUCCCCACAUGUCACUGUAGCCCUUACUGCCUACUUCUGUGGGCAGUUGUGUAGCUUUGUUUCUUCCUUUAGUUUUUAGAACAUUGAGAGCAAAGCACGUGCUUUUGAAAUAUCUGUAGCCCUGGUGAACUGUCU
rnacentral:lncRNA from 1 species